rnacentral:rRNA from 1 species
AGUGAACGCUGGCGGUAGGCCUAACACAUGCAAGUCGAACGGCAGCACAGUAAGAGCUUGCUCUUACGGGUGGCGAGUGGCGGACGGGGGAGGAAUACAUCGGAAUCUACUUUUUCGUGGGGGAUAACGUAGGGAAACUUACGCUAAUACCGCAUACGACCUACGGGUGAAAGCAGGGGAUCUUCGGACCUCGCGCGAUUGAAUGAGCCGAUGUCGGAUUAGCUAGUUGGCGGGGUAAAGGCCCACCAAGGCGACGAUCCGUAGCUGGUCUGAGAGGAUGAUCAGCCACACUGGAACUGCGACACGGUCCAGACUCCUACGGGAGGCAGCAGUGGGGAAUAUUGGACAAAGGGCGCAAGCCUGAUCCAGCCAUACCGCGUGGGUGAAGAAGGCCUUCGGGUUGUAAAGCCCUUUUGUUGGGAAAGAAAAGCAGCAGGUUAAUACCCCGCUGUUCUGACGGUACCCAAAGAAUAAGCACCGGCUAACUUCGUG